GGCCGGGCUGUGUCUGUGUGUCAUCAAUUUUAAUAUCGCCGUGUCGUCAGGCAGUGUCUCGGUUUCUAUUUCUAAAAUUCUAAGUCCAAUUUUCAUGAGCACUGUGACUGUUAGGGUUUGUUUAGUAAUUAGUGUUGUAUUCGGAGAUGACUUUGAGGAGAUUGGUCUGUUAUUAGAUAACCUUGGAAAUCUAAAGUAUUUUUGACUUUGGUCGUUAAAGCCAAUUUACGGACAGCUUUUAUGUAAGUUUUCCCAUAAUGGUUGAAACUGUAAUUUUACCUUCGCGGGGACGAACGAUGCGGUCAUGCGGAAUGCUUGUAUAGAAAUAACCCUGUAUUGUUAGGACUGCCAAGAAGUUUGUAUGUGCACACUUGAGAACAGUGAAUGAUGGGUAGUUUAGACGCGAGGACUACUUUCCACUUUUGACUUAUUGGGCUGAAGUUAUCAGAAGAUUUAUCCAUACUUUUCUUAAGUCUAUGGUAACUGUGCUUGAAAGAAUGACUAGGACCCAGAUUUGAAAGCAAUGGAUAUGGUGGACUUCGGCUGCAAGAGCUAAAAGAAGUUAAAUGGCAGAUUUUAAGAUGUUAAACACAGUAAUUCAAGAUUAAGCCAUUCUUUAUGGAAUACUAUAUUCGUUAAAGCCUUGUAGUAACUCGCUAGCCCAUUUUUUGUUAAUUUUUGGUUAUUUUCAUUUAAUGGUAAGUUUCUUUAGUACCUAUACUAGUGUUCUUAGAUUCUAAGGUUUACAGCGAUUCCUAUCCUAAUUUUUUGUGGCUCGAGAAGUUUCAAGGUUUAUUCCUGUAAGGAUAUCUUGAUAUGCGAGACAUAAGGUCACCAGCCGUUUUUAUGAAGAAUUCCUAAAUUUUUGUCCUGGAAGGUCCUUUCAGUAAGGAAGAUUUCGUGAAAUUGUGAAAUUUAGAAUUUGUUUAAUUUGAAGUUUGUUUCCAGCCAUGAGGUUUUUGGCUUAUGAGAUUUUGUCUAGUCAAACUGAUUAGUGGAUUCGCAGCCUUUGUACUUGGGGGUUCUGGUUUUGUUUUUUUAGGGCUUUAGGUUUGUAUUUCCCUCUUAACAAUUAAUUCAGUGCACCUGCGAGGAUUUCCUCUUGUUACACCUUUCAAAGCUUUCACUGUCAAUUUGUUGCAGCGCUGAAUGACCUCAUUGGUCCCAGUGCUUGGCCUUUGGCAUAAAUUUUAGUAAUUUCAGGUUUGUAUGUAAGUUUUCUGGCUUAAUGUUCAUUGCUUAAGAGGUUAAAAGUUGCCAGGGUUUAAAGUUCUUGAUUCAUAUGUCUGGCUAGUAAGAAUUAAGAGGGUUCGGUUUAAGGGUUACUUUUUAGAAAGUUGGUGGUGGUGGACUGGCAGGUUUUAAAAAAAAUCUUACUCUUACGUAGGUUUUUGUUAGUGUUUUUGCUGAAGCAGAGAUUUUAAAGUUGAUUCAUGAAAAAAUUUAUUUCUGCAAAAUUUGUAAUUAAAACCGCUUUUGAAUUUGUAAAUUUUUCAAUAAAGAACAAAAGUUU